rnacentral:rRNA from 1 species
UGUGGCCCCAAGUCAGGCGAGCCACCCGCCGAAUUUAA